UACGUAGGGGGCAAGCGUUGUCCGGAAUCAUUGGGCGUAAAGAGCGUGUAGGCGGCUCGAUAAGUCUGCUGUGAAAGUCCAGGGCUCAACCCUGGAAGGCCGGUGGAAACUGUCGGGCUAGAGUCCGGAAGAGGCGAGUGGAAUUCCUGGUGUAGCGGUGAAAUGCGCAGAUAUCAGGAGGAACACCGGUGGCGAAGGCGGGUCUCUGGGCCGAUACUGACGCUGAGGAGCGAAAGCGUGGGGAGCGAACAGG
rnacentral:rRNA from 1 species